rnacentral:rRNA from 1 species
AGAGUUUGAUCCUGGCUUAGGAUGAACGCUGGCGGCGUGCUUAACACAUGCAAGUCGAACGGAGUUUAUAUGAAACCUAGUGAUUAUAAACUUAGUGGCGGACGGGUGAGUAACGCGUGGGUAACCUGCCUUAUACCGGGGGACAACAGUUAGAAAUGACUGCUAAUACCGCAUAAGCGCACGGAGUCGCAUGACUCAGUGUGAAAAACUCCGGUGGUAUAAGAUGGACCCGCGUCUGAUUAGCCAGUUGGUGAGGUAACGGCCCACCAAAGCAACGAUCAGUAGCCGGCCUGAGAGGGUGAACGGCCACAUUGGGACUGAGACACGGCCCAAACUCCUACGGGAGGCAGCAGUGGGGAAUAUUGGACAAUGGGGGAAACCCUGAUCCAAGCGACGCCGCGUGAGUGAAGAAGUAUUUCGGUAUGUAAAGCUCUAUCAGCAAGGAAGAUAAUGACGGUACUUGACUAAGAAGCCCCGGCUAACUACGUGCCAGCCGCCGC